CCUACGGGUGGCAGCAGUGAGGAAUAUUGGUCAAUGGACGAGAGUCUGAACCAGCCAAGUAGCGUGAAGGAUGACUGCCCUAUGGGUUGUAAACUUCUUUUAUAUGGGAAUAAAAUGUUCCACGUGUGGGAUUUUGUAUGUACCAUAUGAAUAAGGAUCGGCUAACUCCGUGCCAGCAGCCGCGGUAAUACGGAGGAUCCGAGCGUUAUCCGGAUUUAUUUGGUUUAAAGGGAGCGUAGAUGGGUUGUUAAGUCAGUUGUGAAAGUUUGCGGCUCAACCAUAAAAUUGCAAUUGAUACUGGCAGCAUUGAGUACAGUUGAGGUAGGCGGAAUUCGUGGUGUAGCGGUGAAAUGCUUAGAUAUCACGAAGAACUCCGAUUGCGAAGGCAGCCUACUAAACUGCCACUGACAUUGAUGCUCGAAAGUGUGGGUAUCAAACAGGAUUAGAUACCCGAGUAGUC
rnacentral:rRNA from 1 species